rnacentral:rRNA from 1 species
GCGUUAAUAAAGGGUAAAAUCAGCUUUUUAGAGUGCAAAAAAUAUUUUAAUAUGAUGUUAACUGAAGUUGUUAAAGUUAAGAAAUGGACCAGGAUUAGAUACCCUGUUACACUUUUCUGAAAAUAAAUUACCAGGGUACUAAAAAGUUAUUAGCUUGAAACUCAAAGAAUUUGGCGGUAGUUUAGUCUAGUUAGAGGAACCUGUCCUAUAAUCGAUAAAACACGAAAUAUCUUACUUUAUUUUGUAUAAUCAGUUUGUAUACCGUUAUUAUUAGAUAACUUCAUAAGAAUUUUCAGUUGUUGAAAGAGUAGUCUGCUAAUAUAUUAGAUCAAGGUGCAGCUAAUAAUAAAGAAGAGAUGGGUUACAAUAAAUUUGUUUAUACGGAUCCAAAAAAGAACUUUUUUGGUUAAGGUGGAUUUAAAAGUAAUUAAAUAUUUAAUAAGAUUUUGUGAUUGUAGCUCUAAACUAUGUACACAUUGCCCGUCGCUCUCGUUAUUAAAGC